rnacentral:rRNA from 1 species
GACAGAAGGUGCGAGCGUUGUUCGGAAUUAUUGGGCGUAAAGGGCGCGUAGGCGGUGCGGUAAGUCACCUGUGAAAUCUCCUGGCUCAACUGGGAGCUUGCAGGCGAAACUGCCGUGCGGGAGUGUGGGAGAGGUGCGUGGAAUUCCUGGUGUAGCGGUGAAAUGCGUAGAUAUCAGGAGGAACACCUGUGGCGAAAGCGGCGCACUGGACCACAACUGACGCUGAGGCGCGAAAGCUAGGGGAGCAAACAGG